rnacentral:ncRNA from 2 species
ACCGACCGCUAGGGGAGUGUCAUACUGAGAGUUCCGUCACCAGCGGAACGACCCUUGGAACCUGAUCCGGAUCAUACCGGCGGAGGGAAGCGGCGAUGACGGUUC